AUCAGAGGCUAACGUUAUAGGGACAAGCGAAUAAGUGCACAUGGUGGAUGCCUUGGCGAUUACAGGCGAUGAAGGACGUAGUAGCUUGCGAUAAGCUGCGGGGAGUGAGCAAACACACUUUGAUCCGCAGAUUUCCGAAUGGGGCAACCCACCCUUUUAGGGUAUUGCAUACUGAAUACAUAGGUAUGCAAGGCGAACGCGGCGAACUGAAACAUCUAAGUAGCUGCAGGAAAAGAAAUCAACCGAGAUUCCCAAAGUAGCGGCGAGCGAAAUGGGAAGAGCCUGUACGUGAUAGUCGGACCGAUAACAGAAUCCUCUGGAAAUAGGAGCCAUAGUGGGUGAUAGCCCCGUAUGUGAAAUCGGACCGGUGGUACUAAGCGUACGACAAGUAGGGCGGGACACGUGACAUCCUGUCUGAAUAUGGGGGGACCAUCCUCCAAGGCUAAAUACUCGUAAUCGACCGAUAGUGAACCAGUACCGUGAGGGAAAGGCGAAAAGAACCCCGGAAGGGGAGUGAAAUAGAUCCUGAAACCGUGUGCAUACAAACAGUAGGAGCGGACUUGUUCCGUGACUGCGUACCUUUUGUAUAAUGGGUCAGCGACUUACAUUCAGUGGCAAGGUUAACCAUAUAGGGAAGCCGUAGAGAAAUCGAGUCCGAAUAGGGCGAUCAGUCGCUGGGUGUAGACCCGAAACCAAGUGAUCUACUCAUGGCCAGGAUGAAGGUGCGGUAACACGCCCUGGAGGUCCGAACCCACUAAUGUUGAAAAAUUAGGGGAUGAGCUGUGGGUAGGGGUGAAAGGCUAAACAAACUUGGAAAUAGCUGGUUCUCUCCGAAAACUAUUUAGGUAGUGCCUCAAGUAUCACCAUCGGGGGUAGAGCACUGUUAUGGCUAGGGGGUCAUUGCGACUUACCAAACCAUUGCAAACUCCGAAUACCGAUGAGUGCGAGCUUGGGAGACAGACGUCGGGUGCUAACGUCCGGCGUCAAGAGGGAAACAACCCAGACCGCCAGCUAAGGUCCCAAAGAUUGGCUAAGUGGAAAACGAAGUGGGAAGGCUAAAACAGUCAGGAUGUUGGCUUAGAAGCAGCCAUCAUUUAAAGAAAGCGUAAUAGCUCACUGAUCGAGUCGUCCUGCGCGGAAGAUGUAACGGGGCUAAGCCAGUCACCGAAGCUGCGGAUAUCG
rnacentral:rRNA from 1 species